rnacentral:rRNA from 1 species
GACGUAGGGCGCGAGCGUUGUCCGGAUUUAUUGGGCGUAAAGAGCUCGUAGGCGGCUUGUCGCGUCGUUCGUGAAAACCCGGGGCUCAACUCCGGGCUUGCGGGCGAUACGGGCAGGCUAGAGUUCGGUAGGGGAGACUGGAAUUCCUGGUGUAGCGGUGAAAUGCGCAGAUAUCAGGAGGAACACCGGUGGCGAAGGCGGUGGUCUGGGCCGGCACUGACGCUGAGGAGCGAAAGCGUGGGGAGCGAACAGG